UCAUCGAAAGAAAAAGGUAGAACUUUAAUCAUGAAAUCUCGACGAGAUUAAAAUUUAAUGAGUACAUGCAUACACACACACAGACUCUCUUGACAUUAACUUUCUUGAAUUCCUCUCUCUAGGGAUCUAUAUGGAAAAAAAUGGAAGAGCAGAAGGGAGUUAAAAUCGUUUUUCCAUCAACGAAGAAGCAGGAUGCUAUCAGUAUCCACUUAUUCUUUAUAAGUUAUUUUCCACUUCUUCUUGACCACUACCAAAUCUAUAUGUAAUAUUAUGGCAUUUAAAUUUAAAGUCAAUCUAAAAACCACAUGAACAUGUAUAAUGAAGCUGCUAUACACUAACAACCCCAUUACAGUUUCCUCUGUUUCCAAAGAAGCUGCUAAGCACCUCACUGGCCCAUGAUGGCCAUCUAUAAUUGCAAGACAUGAAUGGAAUGUAUUCCCUUCCUCUCUCCUCCAUACCCUUAUAAUUGCAUCCCCAGAACCACUGAGGACCAAGUCUUCUAUGGCUACUAAGCAAAGAACAGAGAAAUGCUGACCUUGUAAAAAUCCUCCAUGGUUGAAUCUACCGGAUGUCUUCUCCUUCUCCCAAAAGUUUAUGAGCCCAUCUGAGGAGCCAGAGUAGAGGAAACAAUCACUUAAUGAAUAGCUCAAUGCCAAGGCAUUAAUUGGUAGGAGUGAUAUUAAUUAUAGUUUUAAACACACUAAAGACAAUGUAGUAGUCAUUUCAUCUAGAGAGGUUUAAGAGACAUGAUAGUGAUGAGUGAUAGAGAGAGAAAUAAAUAUUUUUGUCAUGAGAAUUCACUGGUGAAGGACUUGGACUGGUACAGCAGAAACUCUGAAAGCUAAGAAAUUCAUUUUAAAAAAAACACAGUUGGAAACCAUUUCUUCCAAAAAUAUAUAUAAUUAUGUAUAAAAUAUAAUUUGAGAGAGUGUAGGACACAAUUAACUUCAUUUGGAGGGUUAUUUGACCCAAAAUAAAUAAAUAAAUAAAUAAAUAAUCAUCUAGCUAGCAUGUGAAAGAAUUGUCCUGUAUGUAACUUUGUCUUGAUUUGUAGUAUUAUAUGGUGAAGUUUCGUCUUCAAUUCAAGCAAGUGUUCUUCAUAGUUAUUAAUGUGGAUAGCUAUGAUUGUGAUUGUGAUUGUGAUUGUGAUUGUGAUUGUGAUUCGUUAACUAAUAUGAUUGUGAUUGUGGUUGUGAUUGUGAUACCCGAUCCACCGGCAUCAUGGCAUCCACCAGGCAGUCUUCCUACCACAUCACGUAGUGGUAGUACAUCACAUGGCUCAGUUUUAGCUGGUUCUAGCUCAAGUCAAGCCAUACAAAACUAGACAAGGGGUCUCACAUAUGUGCAUGGUCAAUGGGGUACUUCAGACGAUGGUGUUUUAAAACUUGUUUCAAAUGAGUUGAGUCAAGUAGUUGAAGGAUACACAACCCUUGCUUCACAUUUGGGCGUUUUGGCAUGAGAUAGGAGUCUUGCACCACUCACUUUUACGACUUGGCUUUAUGUCCCACAACAAAAUAAAGAUAACAUAUGGAGGGAGAUAAAGGCUCAUACGAAUGCAGAUGAUUCCAUGAAGAGAACAAUAAUGACUUCAUUUGGAAAGAAAUUGAGAGAUUGGAAAAGUCGAGUGAAAAAUAUAGGAUACACACCCUUCAAGAAUGAUGCAGAAAGGUUGGCUCAUCGACCGGAUAGAGUACAUGAGGAUCAGUGGCGGGCCUUGGUCUACUAUUGGGGCACUCAGAGUGCAUCGAAAUCAAGCAAGAAGAAUAGAAAAAUUUGGAAGAAGAAGACACUACAUCAUAGAACAGGUCGAAAGCCUUUCUUAGUAGUUCGAGUGGAGGAGACAAAAAAGAACAAUGGGGUUCCUGCUAGUCAGCCACAGGUGUGGAUGGCCGCAUACAUGAAAGAUGGUACUUCCAAUAGUGAUUUAGUUAAUGAAGUUAUGGUUCUACUUUAUUGGACUUUUAAUAUGAUUUAUAUUGGAUGCUAAUUAUUGAAUUCAAAAUUGCAAACUCAAAUGAAUGAGCGGACGGAGCACAUGGAGGGAUCUUCUUCGGACCUUGUUGCAUUAGAUGAACAGACUUUCACACAAGUUAUGGGGCCGGAGCGACCUGGUCGUGUUCAGACGUUUGGAUUGGGACCAUCCCCCACUGAUGUUUUUGGAGGUAGAUAUAGGCAGUCACAAGAGCAGAAUAAUAUCUUCCAAACUUGAGUUCAAGAACAAGUUGAAGAGCAACUUCAACAGUAUCAAAUGCAAUUAGAGUCGAAGAUGAAUGAUGUAAUGGAGAAACAAAUUCAGGCUAUACGCGCAGAUUUUCAGUCACGAAUUGAGAUUUUGGAAUCUCAAUUGCAAGCUGCCGGCAUGCCCGUUGCACCAGUUGUUGCACCUUCGAACCCAUUACAUAGGCAGCAGGUUGUGGAUUCACUUAGUAGUCAUCCCACUGUUCGGCCAAUGUCACAUCAGCAACAAUCUCAUGGAUUUUCAUCCCAAGAGGUUCUCCUUUCAAAGAAAGAGAAGAAGAAGAAGAAGAAGAAGAAGAAGAAGAACUAACAAGGUGUUGUUUUGAGCUCUUUUUGGGUUUAUCCUCUAAUGUAGAGGUUGCUUUCAUGAAUCUCCAUGUUGAGUGGAGAUAUGGGUUGUGUGAAGACUUCUGUUUGUCUUGAUGGUAUGUUCUUAAAAUACUUGAACUCGUCAUUGGGAGGCUUCCCUAUGUCUGUACGUAUAACAACUUAACAAGCAAAAUCAUUUGGUUGGAAUCACUAAAUAUUAUCUUUUAGCGAGGGUUUUCCUCGUCUUUUCUUUUGUAAAGUUGCAUAUUGUAUGAUUCUACCUGUGGUUUAAGUUCAUCAAAGCACUGCUAUUCUGAUCAAGAAAAUUAAGUGAACUUUAAACUAGUUCUUGUAAUUCUUCACCCCUUUCUUAGGAGUAUAUUGUUAAAUUGUCA